GAUACGGGUAGGCUCCAUGCGAAUCAUGAGUGUUAAAACAGAACAGCUACAGUUUGUGACAUUUAGUCCAAACGGUCUCCAUGUGUGUUCCGGAGCAGCUCACCGCGGCUAAGAAAGCUAAGGUGUGGUCAGUGAAUGCAGCACCAUCUGGACAGUGAAGGAGAUGAGCCACAGUGAUCCACGGACUAUUAAAGGAAUGACACUUCCAGUGUCAUAUGAGAUGGUACAUGUUCAUUAAAUCCAUCUGGUCUGGUAUACAGAUCUGAUAACUCCUUUUCUGUGCUGAUGCUGCUGGAAAGAAGCCAAAGGUGGAUUUUAAGUGAAACCUAAAAGUUGUAUCUGGCAAAGAUCACCUGAUUCCAACAAACAUGGAUGGAGGACACACCUGUGACCAGUGUGGGGAGAAUUUCACCGGAAUGCAUAAUCUUAAGAUGCACCUACGCAGCCACAGAGGUGAAAGACCAUAUGGUUGUGACCAGUGUGGGAAGACUUUCACCCACAUGCAUAACUUGAAGUCAUACCUACGCAUCCACAGCAGAGAAAAACCAUAUCUGUGACCAGUGUGGAAAGGCUUUCAGCAGACAGAGUGAUCUUAAAAUACAUCAAUGCAGCCAUACUGGGGAAAGACCAUAUGACUGUGGCCAGUGUGGGAAGACAUUCACUCACACAAAUAACCUCAGGAGAUACUUACGCAUCCACAGUGGAGAAAGACCAUAUGAGUGUGACUAGUGUGGGAAGACUUUCACCCACAUCAGUAGCCUUAAGAGACACCUACAUAUCCACAGCAAAGAAAGACCAGAUGACUGUGACCAGUGUGGGAAGACUUUCAACCAAAUCAAUGACCUUAAGACACACCUAUGCAUCCACACAUGAGAAAGACCAUAUGACUGUAACCAAUGUGGGAAGGCUUUCAGGGACUUCUCUGAAUUCUAUUCUCACCGUCACGUUCACCACAAGAAGUUGAUGUACGCAUGUGACAAGUGCAUAAAGAUAUUCUGAUCGUCUAACUCUUACAAGUGUCACCAAUGGACCCAUACUGGAGAGAAACUCUACCAGUGCAGAUUUUGUGACAGAUCUUUUAUCACAGGUUCACAAUAUACCAAACAUGAAUGUGUCAAACAUUUACACAAAGGACAAAAACUGAACAAUUGCACAAAAAUG